rnacentral:lncRNA from 1 species
GUGACGUCAGCACCGCGGGGCGGUGACUGUGGUGUCUACCCUCAGGCUCCGCGUGUGACCUCGCUGGCGGCGGGGUUCCUAGGGAGCCCAAGUCUCCGCCGCCUCCCUCUGUCCCCAGGUGUCAGCCCACAGUUGUCCGGAGCGGCGAUGGCCGACGACCUCGGAGACGAGUGGUGGGAGAACCAGCCGUCUGGAGCCGCCAGGAGCCCAGGUCAGUUCUAUAUGGUUACUUCAAGUUUUGGGAUCCUGAACAAAAUCUAGAAGAAGGAGCCCUUCCUAGCCUACCAUAUCUGGAAAUACAUUUUUCUUACCAAAUGGAAGUUUCUGGGUUGUCAUACCUUUUUUUAUAUGUUUAUCCAACACCAUUCCUGUCCCAGUGACACAUCUGCUAAC